UACGUAGGGACCGAGCGUUGUCCGGAUUCAUUGGGGCGUAAAGAGCUCGUAGGCGGCUGCUCAAGUCGAAUGUGAAAAACUCGAGGCUCAACCUCGAGCCUGCAUUCGAUACUGGGCGGCUAGAGUCUGGUAGGGGGAUCUGGAAUUCCUGGUGUAGCGGUGAAAUGCGCAGAUAUCGGGAGGAACACCGGUGGCGAAGGCGGUUCUCUGGGCAUUACCUGACGCUGAGGAGCGAAAGUGUGGGGGAGCGAACAGG
rnacentral:rRNA from 1 species